AAUAAGGGAGAAUAGCAGAGUUAAAAGCUUAACUUUCACAUUCAUAUCAAGAAAGGAGCAGUGCCUACUGCCUGUGGCAUUUGUCCCAUGAUGCUGCUGUAAAUGCUAUUUCAAGAAAGAAUGUGGUUGUCCACUGUCUGUCCAUAACUUUGAUGGGUCUAGGGUUCUAGACUGACCUAUAUCCUGUUUUGGCCAAAGAGGGACCCCAGUAUACUCAGUACUCAGCUUGUCCUGCCCUCUCCACCUCUCAGCACCUUUACCGCAGUAUUGCUGUGGAUGUCCCAGCUCAGCCUGUCACUUACAGACUCAGGGCAGUCUUGCUCUUUCCUUUGGGAACCACCCAGUUUAGUGUCCCUCAAACUUCAAGUUCCGCCAUAUUUAUUUCAAAGGUGACCACCUACAGUUAGCUCCAAUGUGGUUUAUCUACUCAAAUGGUUUCAGAGUGACCCCAAGGUACUAACAGGUUUUAUCUUAUGUGUGAGAGAGCACUGCUGUGCACACGUCAUUCUUGGUACAAAGAUGAUUUUAUGGCUCUCAUCUAGAUGCCUAUGCAGUUUGUUCAAUUUUUUUUUUUCCUAAAACAGGACACCAGCGAUAGUCAUACCAGGACCAGACUCAUAGAUGAAAUGAAGUGUCAUCAUCCAUCACUAUGAACUUCCUUCAUGAGAGAGAAAAGGGGAAAAAGUGAUCUGUGGCCAACCAAAUGUACGAGUGAAUAAGCACAGUUCCACUCUGUUGCUCUGAACAUGAUGCCAUUCCAGCUUCUGUGUUCGUGUUUUUGUUUGUUUUUUUUGUUUUUGUGUUUUGUUUCCUAUGGGGCCCCAUAGGUUAGAUGUUGCUAAUACUGAAAUUAUUGGAUGCCAUACAAGUAGCAUUUACAAGUCCAUUUGCUAUUAAUGUAAUGCCCCUUUAUACAAAGAACAAAUAAAUCACAGGGCUUUGGCUGAGGCUCUGCCAAUAUUUUAUUUCCCUUAAAACAGAAGAAUAUGAUGAUUUUUUUUUAAAAAAAAGGAACAAUUAUAACUUAGCACAUGUCACUAGUUUUCACAACUCCAGUGAAUGUAAACUUACUUAACUUUCCAGAUCCAAAAGGGAAAAUGCUGUGCUAUAUUUGAUGUGAGGAGCAAGAGACUUACAUUGUGCCUUAGACUGGUUCAGAAUAUUUUUGUGGGGAAAUACCUGUCUCCGUGGCACAACUAGAAUCAACAGAAUAUUAAAAUGUCUGGAUUUGUGAUAAUAACUUUGGGAAACAUUACUCCAUGGCAGAGGCCAUUUUGUUCACAUUCCACAAAGGAUGAUCUUUUUGUAAAGCUUUUUGCAGAGGAGAGCUUUGGGCCUCUUCCAAGC
rnacentral:lncRNA from 1 species